rnacentral:ncRNA from 13 species
CAGUAGGGAUUUGUUGGGGAGAGAUAAAGUGAAUAUGCGUAUCGAUGCCACCAGCGGUUACAAUCAAGCCCUCAGCUGCCAAAGCCUCUGUAGCAGGACCUACGCAAAGAUUAUUAUCUACGCCAUCUUGCAUGUCCUUAUUGCCCGCCUUGCCAAUGCCUGCAAUCUUGCCAUCCUUAAUCCCAAUGUCGGCUUUGUAAAUGCCCGUAUAGUCCACAAUGAGGGCGUUAGUGAGCACCAAAUCUAACUCAUAAGAGCUAGGGCUAUUGGUUUGACUCAUCCCAUCACGGAUAG